rnacentral:rRNA from 1 species
AGCAGCCGCGGUAAUUCCAGCUCCAAUAGCGUAUAUUAAAGUUGUUGCAGUUAAAAAGCUCGUAGUUGAAUUUCGGGAUUGACGUGAUGGUCGUGCCUUAAGGGGUAUGAACUGUUGCAGUUGAUUUCUCACCUUCUGGAAAAACUUGAUGUCCUUUAUUGGGUGUCUUGCGGAUCCAGGACCUUUACCUUGAAAAAAUUUAGAGUGUUUAAAGCAGGCAUUUUUGCUCGAAUACAUUAGCAUGGAAUAAUAGAAUAGGACGGCAUGGUUCUAUUUUGUUGGUUUCUAGGAUCACCGUAAUGAUUAAUAGGGAUAGUUGGGGGCAUUAGUAUUCAAUUGUCAGAGGUGAAAUUCUUGGAUUUAUUGAAGACUAACUACUGCGAAAGCAUUUGCCAAGGAUGUUUCCAUUAAUCAAGAACGAAAGUUAGGGGAUCGAAGACGAUCAGAUACCGUCGUAGUCUUAACCAUAAACUA